rnacentral:lncRNA from 1 species
AUGACAGCCACAUCAUGCUCAACAAUGGCACCAAGACGGACAUGCUAGGGCUAGGCACCUGGAAGUCCCCUCCAGGCCAGGUGGCCGAGGCUGUGAAGGUAGCAAUCAACACUGUAUACCGCCACAUCGACUGCAGCCACGUGCACCAGAACAAGGACCAGGAGCAGCUCAAGGAGCAGGUGGUGAGGCGUGAGUGGCUCUUCAUCAUCAGCAAGCCAUGGGGCAUAUGCCACAGGAAGUGCCUGGUGAGAGGAUCCUGCCGAAAGGUGCUCAGUGGCCUGGAGCUGGACUACCUGGACCUCCACCUUAUUCACUGGCCAACAGGCUGUCAUCCUGGGAAGGAAUUUUCCUUUUUAGAUGAAUCAGGCAACUCAUUCAGGGGCUGGUGAAAGCUGCUGGCAUCUCCAACUUCACCAUCUCCAGGCCGAGAGGACCUUAAACAAAUCUGGCUUAAAGUGAAAGCUGGUAACUCAAGAGAACUUAAUCCAGUACUACCAGUCCAAGGCAGCAUAGUGACCGCCUACAGCCCCCUUGGCUCUCCCGACAGGCCCAGGGCCAAGCCUGAGGACCCUUCCCUCCUGGAAGACCCCAGGAUCAAAGUGAUUGCAGCCAAGCACAAUGAAACUGUAGCCAGGUUCUGAUGUGGCUCCUCACACAGAGGAACUUGGUGGUGACCCCCACAUCUGUGACACUGGAUCGCAUUGCUGAGAACUUCAAGGUCUUUGACUUUGAACUGAGCAGCCAGGAUAUGACCUCCUUACUCAGCUGCAACAGGAACUGAAGGGUCUGUGCCUUGGUAAGCUGAACCGCCCCCAAGGAUCACCCAUUCCAUGAAGAGU